rnacentral:rRNA from 1 species
AGGGGAGUGAAAAAGAACCUGAAACCGUGUACGUACAAGCAGUGGGAGCACCCUUCGGGGUGUGACUGCGUACCUUUUGUAUAAUGGGUCAGCGACUUAUAUUCUGUAGCAAGGUUAACCGUAUAGGGGAGCCGGAGGGAAACCGAGUCUUAACCGGGCGUUAAGUUGCAGGGUAUAGACCCGAAACCCGGUGAUCUAGCCAUGGGCAGGUUGAAGGUUGGGUAACACUAACUGGAGGACCGAACCGACUAAUGUUGAAAAAUUAGCGGAUGACCUGUGGCUGGGGGUGAAAGGCCAAUCAAACCGGGAGAUAGCUGGUUCUCCCCGAAAGCUAUUUAGGUAGCGCCUCGUGAAUUCAUCUCCGGGGGUAGAGCACUGUUUCGGCUAGGGGGCCAUCCCGGCUUACCAACCCGAUGCAAACUGCGAAUACCGGAGAAUGUUAUCACGGGAGACACACGGCGGGUGCUAACGUCCGUCGUGAAGAGGGAAACAACCCAGACCGCCAGCUAAGGUCCCAAAGUCAUGGUUAAGUGGGAAACGAUGUGGGAAGGCCCAGACAGCCAGGAUGUUGGCUUAGAAGCAGCCAUCAUUUAAAGAAAGCGUAAUAGCUCACUGGUCGAGUCGGCCUGCGCGGAAGAUGUAACGGGGCUAAACCAUGCACCGAAGCUGCGGCAGCGAACGUAUCACCCAAGACAACUUUACGGAGUUGACGAUUGACGGAGCGAAGCGACGUCAAAGCGUUCAUUAAAGUCGAGUUGGCUUAGGGAUACGUUCGUUGGGUAGGGGAGCGUUCUGUAAGCCUGUGAAGGUGUGUCGUGAGGCAUGCUGGAGGUAUCAGAAGUGCGAAUGCUGACAUAAGUAACGAUAAAGCGGGUGAAAAGCCCGCUCGCCGGAAGACCAAGGGUUCCUGUCCAACGUUAAUCGGGGCAGGGUGAGUCGACCCCUAAGGCGAGGCCGAAAGGCGUAGUCGAUGGGAAACGGGUUAAUAUUCCCGUACUUGGUGUUACUGCGAAGGGGGGACGGAGAAGGCUAUGUUGGCCGGGCGACGGUUGUCCCGGUUUAAGCGUGUAGGUGUGUGUUCCAGGUAAAUCCGGUUCACUUUAACACUGAGGCGUGACGACGAGGCACUACGGUGCUGAAGCAACAAAUGCCCUGCUUCCAGGAAAAGCCUCUAAGCAUCAGGUAACACGAAAUCGUACCCCAAACCGACACAGGUGGUCAGGUAGAGAAUACCAAGGCGCUUGAGAGAACUCGGGUGAAGGAACUAGGCAAAAUGGUGCCGUAACUUCGGGAGAAGGCACGCUGACACGUAGGUGAAGUGAUUUACUCAUGGAGCUGAAGUCAGUCGAAGAUACCAGCUGGCUGCAACUGUUUAUUAAAAACACAGCACUGUGCAAACACGAAAGUGGACGUAUACGGUGUGACGCCUGCCCGGUGCCGGAAGGUUAAUUGAUGGGGUCAGCGUAAGCGAAGCUCCUGAUCGAAGCCCCGGUAAACGGCGGCCGUAACUAUAACGGUCCUAAGGUAGCGAAAUUCCUUGUCGGGUAAGUUCCGACCUGCACGAAUGGCGUAAUGAUGGCCAGGCUGUCUCCACCCGAGACUCAGUGAAAUUGAACUCGCUGUGAAGAUGCAGUGUACCCGCGGCAAGACGGAAAGACCCCGUGAACCUUUACUAUAGCUUGACACUGAACAUUGAGCCUUGAUGUGUAGGAUAGGUGGGAGGCUUUGAAGUGUGGACGCCAGUCUGCAUGGAGCCGACCUUGAAAUACCACCCUUUAAUGUUUGAUGUUCUAACGUGGACCCGUAAUCCGGGUUGCGGACAGUGUCUGGUGGGUAGUUUGACUGGGGCGGUCUCCUCCUAAAGAGUAACGGAGGAGCACGAAGGUUGGCUAAUCCUGGUCGGACAUCAGGAGGUUAGUGCAAUGGCAUAAGCCAGCUUGACUGCGAGCGUGACGGCGCGAGCAGGUGCGAAAGCAGGUCAUAGUGAUCCGGUGGUUCUGAAUGGAAGGGCCAUCGCUCAACGGAUAAAAGGUACUCCGGGGAUAACAGGCUGAUACCGCCCAAGAGUUCAUAUCGACGGCGGUGUUUGGCACCUCGAUGUCGGCUCAUCACAUCCUGGGGCUGAAGUAGGUCCCAAGGGUAUGGCUGUUCGCCAUUUAAAGUGGUACGCGAGCUGGGUUUAGAACGUCGUGAGACAGUUCGGUCCCUAUCUGCCGUGGGCGCUGGAGAACUGAGGGGGGCUGCUCCUAGUACGAGAGGACCGGAGUGGACGCAUCACUGGUGUUCGGGUUGUCAUGCCAAUGGCACUGCCCGGUAGCUAAAUGCGGAAGAGAUAAGUGCUGAAAGCAUCUAAGCACGAAACUUGCCCCGA